UUUAAAGAUGGUGUUUUAAGCAACCUUGAUAGAAUGCUUAUGAACUGGCUAAAGAUAAAAGAUUCGGGAAAUUUUAAGUUCACUUGUAUUUCUGUAACCAAGAUAAAACAAGGUUUGAGGAAUCAGAAGAUGGAGAAAUAAAGACUGACAGAACAGAAACCUCUUGAGACAAAGGCUUUGAGAAAAGCAGUGUGAAAUCUGCUAAGUCACAUAUAGUGGAAAAAAGAGACUACUGAAACGUUCACCUUUUUCCCAGCGGAAAGUUUUGUCACAUGCAGUGCUUCACCCUUGAAGUUACAUAAUCCUGCUUGCAGGAUUGUGAGGUCUCGCUGAACAACUCACGUCACUACUUCUUGAAGUACAUCAACAACAGGACCUAAAAAUAAUAAUUUGCUAGUUCUGUGGGAAAGAAGUGAGAUAAAGUACCAGUGGAGCAGAGGAGCUGAAGAUCUUUACUGCUAUGAAAACAUGGAGAUUUUCUGCCCAUGCUUUGAAGUCCAGCACACCAGGAUUGCUGAGAAGGCAAGUCUAUAAAGAAGGUCCACUUCCCACCUUGGGGAUAAACCAUAAAAGAAUGAAAGGGCACGGGAGGAGCCUAUUGAAGAAAUGAACCUUUUGAGUUGAAUUAGCCUGGACAAAAGUAUUUGGCCUGAAAUUUGAAGUAAAAGGAUUUUUAGC